CCGUCUCCCAUCUCCCCAUCUCAAACCCCACGCGGUGGUGGACGCACUAGAAGUCUAGAAACCAACCUCCUCUAGGGUUUGGGGCCGUCAUCGGCGAUACAAACGGCGGCGAGCCUUGCGGGCCAAGGGCAGGAUCACAAGACGAUCAAUCUGGAGGAUGGGUGGACAUGCAGAAGGGCAUCAACAUCCUUGAGGGCAAGCAAGAGCCGCAGUACAUGUUCGAGGAUUACAUGAUGCGCUCUGCAUGUACAAAUCGCCUCCAUCCGACCAUGGCUAGCUUAUGCCCGAUUCGAUCUGUUCUGGUGUUUUUUUUCAUCGAUCUGUUCUGGUGUUUUUUUUCCAUCGAUCUGUUCUGGUGCUGACAUGUGUGUUGUGUGUACAGAACUACAGAUUAGUCCCCUGUUUUGUGGGUGUAUGUAUGUCGGCGCUGUUGGUUUUCCGGUCCAGUGAGUCAAGGCGGAUCUGAUUGUCUUUUUAUUUCCAACAUGCUCUGACGGGUGUGCAUUUGUGGAUUUUUUGGAUUCAGGUCAGUUUAUUUGGAUCCAUGGGCCAAACAAACAGCAUCAGGAAGCUGGAAAACUGAACCCUUCAUUCCGACAGCUUGGAGGAAUGCUGGAUCCAGCCCCCAUCUUUGUUGUGUUGUAUAUAGAUCUGCUCUCACUUGCGUAUAUGAGGUGAGCAUUCAACAAUCUCUGAUCUUCUAGCAUGGCAAUGGUGUUUUUUGGCCACCUGACUCUGCAGCUAGGGAGGAAGACAUCUAGGUUGCUCCUUUCUAUCAGUGAUAAGCUUACAAGCAGGGACAACGACGAUGUUUCUGAAAUUCAAGGUGUUGUGGCCUGUUCACCUGCUAUUGUAAUUUCCUUGACGGUAAUUAAAUAGAUGAAUUAAUCCAGUAGUUAUGAGCUCAGUUCCUCCUGGACAGCCGGGCCAAACUGACCAAUUUCUCUCCUCUUCUCGCCUUAACUUGUGGCGAGAGGUGCAGCUUGAAAGAGUAGUUACAAACUAAUAAAUUAACGGGCAUCCGAGGAGACACAUUAUGUACUUUAUUAUACAAAUGUAUUCUCCUAGCGCCAGUUGAUUUUCUUAUGCCACUCCUCCCUUGUGUACAUUCUUUUGUCCCCAGAUAGUUUAUGAAUUACUUGCAUUUUUACCAUACUUAAAAAAAAUAGCUUAGAAACAAAAUAGUCGCACAUACAUGGAUCCAACAUCCAAAUUUAUUUCUUUUACAUUCAGCUAUAGCUAUGCUGAUUUUGAUGCACUCUUUUCAUGUAUUUAACAUGCAAGUGUUAUCAUUGAAAGGCUUCUUCGUUUCUAAUUCGUUGUAUUAACACUACUGUUUCCGGUCUAUGCAAGCAUCUAUAUUCUUUGAAAGAUAUGUUUGCCGGAAGUGUUUUGAUGGACAGGAGGUCACUGUUUAUUUUUUACAUGGUUUAUUUCUCCACACUAAAACAUUUAGCAAUAAAAA